UCCUGCGGGCAGAGAGCAGGACUUGCAGCGGCAGCCAGCUUCUCAGCUAGGUGGCCCAGGGGGCCCCCACUCCUCUAGGACUAGGAGUGGCCACUGCAUGGUCCUCACCCAGGGCUGAAGUUAGGCUCCCGUUUGCCUCGUGUCUAAACUGUAUGCUGCAAACUGUUCUCAUUGUCCAAUUAGCCAGCAGGGCAGAGGGCUUCUGCAUUUCCAUGGCCCCUCAGUGUCCUUAUGGCAAGUGACAGGAGGUACCCUCCUCAUGGUCUGACCCCAGGAUACAAAUCUCCUGGCUCUCACCCCUGGGCCUCAGCACUUGCCCCCAAGGUUGACAACAAUGAUUCUGUUGGUCUGCUUCUAGAAGCUGCCCAUGGUUCCUCCGAGUGGUGCUAAUUAACUCAUCCCCAGGGUAUCCCAGCCAGGAUCUCCCCCUGAAUCCCUUUUGCCAAAAAAUAACGAAGCUAGCCAAUUUGGCCAUUGGCAAGGUAGUGACAGAAUACGGAAGAAAGCAAAAGCCCUGUUUUUUAAACUGGUCUCUCUCUCCCCAAGUGCGGUUCCAGAUAUCUCCUCUCUAAAACCAGAGGCUGCUCCUGGGAGACAUGAACCAACUAGACCUGGGAUGAGGGGGCCAAAGGCAAUAUUUUAAGAGGAAACUGCUCCUUUUACUCAUGGCUGUCCCACUGCCCUUUUGGGGAACAACGAAGGUCCUCUGCUGGCUUGAGGCUUCUUCAGUAGAACUGGGAGUUACCUCGGCUUUAGGCCCAAUGAAGAUGUCACCUUCAAGGGCUCCGGCCAUGACGCGAACGUGUUUGGGUCUGCCCACACUAAAAAAGAGAGCAGGAGGACCAUUACUUUUCAUUUCACGACAGAACACGGAAGGCUGUACAGAUGUGCAUGCUUGGAUGGGAAGAAACAGACCCAGUUCUACUGUCAUUCUCUCUCAGGAGUGAGGUUAAAGUUCAUUUUGAUUUUCAUCUACUUUUUUGCAUUGCCCGCGAUUUCUACAAUGAACAUGUAUUAUUUUAAGUUAUUUGUAUAUUUCUGACCCAAAUCAGAGAUCCUUCUCUGUAAAAGGUGGAGGGCUGACCCCAAAACAAAGCUGACAAGCCUCCCCAGCUUCCGACUAUGCUACAGAAUUACUUACUAGUUUGGAAAGCAGUAUUUGGGAAUCUGAUCACCAGCAAAACCAGCUUUAAUCACACCAGAUCCCUGAGGAGAGAGGAGAAAGAAAGAGAAGUCAGAAGUAUGACAAAAAUAAGAGAUAUAUAUCAUAUAGUAUGCAUAGUAUGGUUUCACUUUUAUUUAAAAGAGACCUUAUAUCUGGAUAUAAUAUGUCCAUUUGCAUGAACAUCUGUAGAGGGUACACAUGCCUCCAGGAGGGAAGUGGGACUUCCCUCCUGUAUACUUUCACUGUAUACUCAAAGUAUUACUUGAUUUUUUGGCAUUCUUUGAACUUUCUUUUCUUUUCUUUUUUAAAAGAUUUUAUUUAUUUAUUUGACAGAGAGAGACACAGCGAUAUUGGGAACACAAGUAGGGGGCGUGGAAGAGGGAGAAGCAGGCUUCCGGAAUAAUAGGGAGCCAGAUGCAGGGCUCGAUCCCAGAACCCUGGGAUCAUGACCUGAGCUGAAGGCAGAUGCUUAACUGAGGAGCCACCCUGGUGCCUCUUCUUUGACUUUUCUACAUUGACCAUGCUUUCCUUCUGGAAUCAAAAAUAAUACUAAUAAAGAGAAGAAAAAGAGAAAACCCGAGGGAAGAGAAAAGUACCUAGAAUCACCAAAGCAGCCAAGUUCAUGAACAUAACCAGGGUGGGAAAAAUGUGAUUCUUUCUGUUAAACCACAUGGGACACUGUUGACCUACUUUCCCAACUCAGGCCUGAACUCUCUCUGCCCUCCAGGGUGUCUAGGACAGACACCACCGUGAACACCACCAGGCUUGAAGCUGACUCUGAUGGAACAUAUAUUGUCUGGUCUCCUGCUGGUAAAGAGCAGGGAAGUUCUAAAGCAUCACCCAACAAGAGACCCAACAUUACAAUCCUGAUGCUUCAAUCCUUGGUAAAUUGGGUGGGUGUCAGAAGAGAAUGUGACUUCUCUGUCAACAUCUCUGGUACCACCUAGGCCCAACCAAAGUAAAUGUCUCUAGCCAUGA